AGGGAAAGAGGGAGGCAGGCCUAACACAUGCAAGUCGAGCGGAUGAAGGGAGCUUGCUCCUGGAUUCAGCGGCGGACGGGUGAGUAAUGCCUAGGAAUCUGCCUGGUAGUGGGGGAUAACGUCCGGAAACGGGCGCUAAUACCGCAUACGUCCUGAGGGAGAAAGUGGGGGAUCUUCGGACCUCACGCUAUCAGAUGAGCCUAGGUCGGAUUAGCUAGUUGGUGGGGUAAAGGCCCACCAAGGCGACGAUCCGUAACUGGUCUGAGAGGAUGAUCAGUCACACUGGAACUGAGACACGGUCCAGACUCCUACGGGAGGCAGCAGUGGGGAAUAUUGGACAAUGGGCGAAAGCCUGAUCCAGCCAUGCCGCGUGUGUGAAGAAGGUCUUCGGAUUGUAAAGCACUUUAAGUUGGGAGGAAGGGCAGUAAGUUAAUACCUUGCUGUUUUGACGUUACCAACAGAAUAAGCACCGGCUAACUUCGUG
rnacentral:rRNA from 1 species